GAUGAACGCUAGCGAUAGGCCUAACACAUGCAAGUCGAGGGGCAGCAUAGAGUAGCAAUACUUUGAUGGCGACCGGCGCACGGGUGAGUAACACGUAUGCAACCUACCUACAUCAGGGGAAUAACCCGGAGAAAUUCGGACUAAUACCGCAUAAUACAGGGAUGCCGCAUGGCAAUAUUUGUUAAAGAUUUAUCGGAUGUAGAUGGGCAUGCGUUCCAUUAGCUGGUUGGUAAGGUAACGGCUUACCAAGGCAACGAUGGAUAGGGGAACUGAGAGGUUUGUCCCCCACACUGGAACUGAGAAGUGGACCAGACUCCUACGGGAGGAAGCAGGGAGGAAUAUUGGUCAAUGGACGAGAGUCUGAACCAGCCAAAUCGCGUGAAGGAAGACUGCCCUACGGGUUGUAAACUUCUUUUGUACAGGAAUAAAAGACAUUACGUGUAAUGUAUUGCAUGUACUGUACGAAUAAGCAUCGGCUAACUCCGUGCCAGCAGCCGCCGUAA
rnacentral:rRNA from 1 species